rnacentral:rRNA from 1 species
AUUGAACGCUGGCGGCAGGCUUAACACAUGCAAGUCGAGCGAGCGGCGGACGGGUGAGUAAUGUCCGGGAAACUGCCUGAAGGAGGGGGAUAACUAAUGGAAACGGUAGCUAAUACCGCAUACCCUAAGAUGUGUCCAGAUGGGAUUAGCUCGAAGGUGGGGUAAUGGCUCACCCAGGCGCAGAUCCCUAGCUGGUCUGAGAGGAUGACCAGCCACACUGGAACUGAGACACGGUCCAGACUCCUACGGGAGGCAGCAGUGGGGAAUAUUGCACAAUGGGCGCAAGCCUGAUGCAGCCAUGCCGCGUGUGUGAAGAAGGCCUUCGGGUUGUAAAGCACUUUCAGCGAGGAGGCGUUACUCGCAGAAGAAGCACCGGCUAACUCCGUGCCAGCAGCCGCGGUAAUUC